GACGAACCGUGCGAACGUUGUUCGGAAUCACUGGGCUUAAAGGGCGCGUAGGCGGGCUGUCAAGUUUGGGGUGAAAUCCCGCGGCUCAACCGUGGAACUGCCUCAAAUACUGACGGCCUCGAGGAAGGUAGGGGCAUGCGGAACUGUAGGUGGAGCGGUGAAAUGCGUAGAUAUCAAGAGGAACACCUGAGGUGAAGACGGGUUGCUGGGCUGAUACUGACGCUGAGGCGCGAAAGCUAGGGUAGCAAACGGG
rnacentral:rRNA from 1 species